rnacentral:rRNA from 1 species
GACGAACGCUGGCGGCGUGCCUAAUACAUGCAAGUUGAGCGCUGAAGGUUGGUACUUGUACCAACUGGAUGAGCAGCGAACGGGUGAGUAACGCGUGGGGAAUCUGCCUUUGAGCGGGGGACAACAUUUGGAAACGAAUGCUAAUACCGCAUAAAAACUUUAAACACAAGUUUUAAGUUUGAAAGAUGCAAUUGCAUCACUCAAAGAUGAUCCCGCGUUGUAUUAGCUAGUUGGUGAGGUAAAGGCUCACCAAGGCGAUGAUACAUAGCCGACCUGAGAGGGUGGUCGGCCCAAUUGGGAAUGGGAAACGGCCCAAACUCCUACGGGAGGCAGCAGUAGGGAAUCUUCGGAAAUGGACGAAAGUCUGACCGAGCAAAGCCGCGUGAGUGAAGAAGGUUUUCGGAUCGUAAAACUCUGUUGGUAGAGAAGAACGUUGGUGAGAGUGGAAAGCUCAUCAAGUGACGGUAACUACCCAGAAAGGGACGGCUAACUACGUG